rnacentral:snRNA from 14 species
AUGCUUUCCAAGGGGGGGCGGGGCGUGAAAGCCGUGGUCAGGAUACCAUGAGCGAUUGUACUCGGAUGUACUGACCCUGUGAUUUCCCCCAAUGUGGGAAACUGGAAUACAUAAUUUGUGGCAGUGGGGCAGACUCCCUU